UACGACUACAUAUCAGGCAUAUCAAUAAGCGGAGGAAAAGAAACUAACAAGGAUUCCCUUAGUAACGGCGAGUGAAGCGGGAAGAGCUCAAAUUUGAAAUCUUCAAGGUUCUACCUUGACGAAUUGUAGUUUAUAGAAGUGUUUUCUGUUAGUGGAGUGGCAAAAGUUCUUUGGAAUAGGACAUCAUAGAGGGUGAGAAUCCCGUAUUUGGUCAUUCCUCCUAGCGUUGUGAUACACUUUCAACGAGUCGGAUUGUUUGGGAAUGCAGUCCAAAAUGGGUGGUAAAUUUCAUCUAAAGCUAAAUAUUGGCGAGAGACCGAUAGCGAACAAGUACCGUGAGGGAAAGAUGAAAAGAACUUUGAAAAGAGAGUUAAACAGUACGUGAAAUUGUCAAAAGGGAAGCGUUUGACACCAGUGUUGUUUUCUCGAAAAUCAAUUAAAAAUGACCGGAUUUUGUGUUGUAUUGACUUUAUCAGCUUUCUGCACUUUUUUCUUGUCUUUUUUAAUGCACUUUUCGUUUAACAAGUCAACAUCAAUUUCUUUUGUUGUAAAAGGGUCAUUGGAAGGUGGCUUUCACUUCGGUGAAAGUGUUUAUAGCCUUUGACUUCUGCAAUCGGAGAGAUUGAGGUCUGCAGCGUAGAUCCUUCGGGGUUAGAUACAUUUGUGCUAAGUUAUAGUUUUUCAUAGACAACAUGUUGACUAUGAUUAAUCAUGUAGCUUACUCGCUUAUGCUAUUUUACCUACGCUUAGGAUGUUGACGCGCGUGUGUGCGUG
rnacentral:rRNA from 1 species